CUCGUGAACGCAUCAGAGACCAAUUAUCGUUUCCAACGAAACCGUACAAACGCCACGCUACGCGCCAUAGGAAGUUUAAAUUUCGAAAAUUCGAUAGCUUUUUGCCGAGGGGAUAAUAUUCGUACGUACAAGAGUCCGCCAUAUGGUUGGUGGGUGCCCCCAGCAUGGAACUAAUAGGCCACCGUUACGGAGAGCGAAGACAGUCUUAGGGGAGACACACAAAUUCACGGUACAUCAUUGAAAACCGAUCUCCCGGAAGCCCACAAAAUGUCCACCACGUGCCAAUCGAUUAGAUGCAUAACUAUCGUCUUAAUCCGGAUACGAGUAACCAGGACGGAAGUGCCUAGGAAGGAUUCUACCGAAUCCACGAAACAGAGUGUCUUCGCCGAACUACAAUGAGGAUGAUACAUAUAGGACCAAGCUGGACCAGUGUUACCCUACUUGCUUGGCCCAGCAUUGAAAAGUUCGGUUGCUGACUGCAACGUGAAUGCAUCAGGAACAAAAUCCGUGCGAAAAACAGCAAUAAGCUUCCAGCUCAUGCGUGGACAUUAGACUCAUGUAUUAUUUAUAACUAGAAAGUAUGGGAACCAUUAUGAGACCACAAGUGCGUAUUGUGAUCGGGAACUCUUCAGAAAAUAACGAUAGCAUCCGAACCUCACCGAAGGCAAAUGUAUCGUGGAAAUACGAUACAGAUGGAUCGAAUUUAUCGUGGUAUACGUGUCGCAAUGUACGAGGAGCAGAUGACACGAGGAAACUCGAUAAGUCUCUCAGCGACAGAAAAGUGCACCCGUGUCCUUUCUGGUAUUACUCAGUCGCUCAAGUGCGUACACGGCCUUAAGAGUGAGGAUGAUUAACAGAAUUUCUCUAUAAAGGAAACGACAAAACGAUACAAAAAUCUUAGUAGGAUAUCAAUGGUAUAUACAUAGAUUGAUAUGAAUAUUGAUAAAAAAUUGUACGAUUAUUUGAUUUUAUUUAUACCUAAGAAUUUGAGUGCAGAUAUCAACCAGGUUCAGUGACGUCAUAUAUCUACAGAUUAAUUGUAUUUAUACAGUGCAUCAAUUGAAUAUUUGUUUCCUGGAUGAAUUCACAUCAAUGAGGCUGAAAAGUACGACGGUGAUGGCACGUGCGAUAGUGAAAUCAUUAUAAAGCUCUUAGAGCGUUUUCUGAUACUGUGAAUGAGCCUUUAGGCUGCUUCAACCCUCUUCUUGUCAACCGCCCAUGCGUGAAAAUAGUGAAGGGAUUGUUGUACGUUCUUCACAGAACAGCUUGUAGAGUAACUCGACAGAUGGGUGAUCGAACAAAAUUGAUCCUAGUCAGAUCAAGAUCUUUUGGAGGGUGCGAGGAACUGGUCCUGAUUGUAACUGUGGGUAGAAGGGUUGAUUGUCAUUGCUUUACUGUUAUUUAUUUACUGUUCACUCUUUCGGAUCUAUGAAUAAAAUUGUUCGAUCCUUGGAUAAUGGAGCUGAAACAGAUGUAAGAAUGCAUGUUGUUUCUUGAUUGUUCUUCUUCGACAAGUAUGUAGAAACCGUUGAAAUGGACUUAACACUAGAAAGACCGAAACUUAGUAUAUACCUAUAUUGCCCAAAGCAGUCAGAAUGACUG